rnacentral:rRNA from 1 species
UCAAGCAGAAAGGGCACAGGGCGGAUGCCUUGGCACUAAGGGCCGAAGAAAGACGUGAUAAGCUGCGAUAAGCUUCGGGGAGGAGCAAAUAUCCAUUGAUCCGGAGAUUUCUGAAUGGGGAAACCCACAUGAGCAAACCUCAUGUAUCCAUACGCCAAUCCAUAACGUAUGGAGGGGAACCCGGGGAACUGAAACAUCUAAGUACCCGGAGGAAAAGAAAGAAAACUCGAUUCCGUAAGUAGCGGCGAGCGAACGCGGAAGAGCCUAAACCGGUGUGCGUGCACACCGGGGUUACGGACUGCAUUUAAGAUUCUGUGAUGUUAGUGGAACGGUUUUGGGAAAGCCGGCCGGAGAGGGUGAAAGCCCCGUACACGAAAACAGAGCAGACUGAGCAGGAUCCAGAGUACCGCGGGACACGAGAAACCCUGCGGGAAGUCAGGGGGACCACCCCCUAAGGCUAAAUACCACUUAGUGACCGAUAGCGCAUAGUACUGUGAAGGAAAGGUGAAAAGGACCCCGGGAGGGGAGUGAAAGAGAACCUGAAACCCUGUGUCUACAAGCUGUGGAAGUGCUUUAUAUGCACGACCGCGUACUUUUUGUAGAACGGUCCGGCGAGUUGCGCUCACUGGCAAGGUUAAACACUCAAGGUGUGGAGCCGUAGGGAAACCAAGUCUUAACAGGGCCAGAGUCAGUGGGGGCAGACCCGAAACCGGGUGAUCUAUCCAUGUCCAGGUUGAAGCUGCCGUAAGAGGCAGUGGAGGACCGAACCCACAUCCGUUGAAAAGGGUGGGGAUGAGGUGUGGAUAGGGGAGAAAUUCCAAUCGAACCCGGAGAUAGCUGGUUCUCCUCGAAAUAGCUUUAGGGCUAGCCUCGAUACAGAUUUGCGGAGGUAGAGCACUGAAUUUCCUAGGGGGCGUCAAAGCCUACCGAAGAAUAUCAAACUCCGAAUGCCGUGUAAUUGCUUACCAGGAGUCAGACUGCACGAGAUAAGUUGGGCAGUCAAAAGGGAAAGAGCCCAGACCUUCAGUUAAGGUCCCAAAGUGUGCGUUAAGUGGAAAAGGAUGUGGGAUUUCGAAGACAACCAGGAUGUUGGCUCAGAAGCAGCCAUACAUUCAAAGAGUGCGUAAUAGCUCACUGGUCGAGAGGUCCUGCGCCGAAAAUGUCCGGGGCUGAAACGCGCCACCGAAACUAAGGAACCGAAAGGUUGGUAGAGGAGCAUUGCAUGCGGGAAGAAGCAGUACCGGAAGGAGCUGUGGACUGCAUGGAAGAGAGAAUGCCGGAAUGAGUAGCGAGAUAGAGGUGGGAAUCCUCUAGGCCGAAUAUCCAAGGUUUCCAGGGUAAAGCUGAUCUGCCCUGGGUAAGUCGGGGCCUAAGGUGAGGACGAGAGUCGUAGCCGAUGGACAACAGGUGGAGAUUCCUGUACUAUGAUAUGACAGAACUGUGGGGACACGUGCAGAGAGCGGAAGCCGGGAAUGGAAACCCGGUGCAAGCGAGGUACCAGUCGCAUUGGAAAAACCGUGCGGCAAUGGGAAGACGUGAUGCGGAGUGAAGUUUAGUAAUGAAGUCCGUGAGCUGUGCGUCAAGAAAAGCCGCUAUUGUUCAUACCAUACCCGUACCGUAAACCGACACAGGUGGAUGAGGAGAGAAUCCUAAGGCCGGCGGAAGAAGCAUUGUUAAGGAACUCGGCAAAAUGACCCCGUAACUUCGGGAGAAGGGGUGCCUGCGAGAGCAGGCCGCAGAGAAUAGGCUCAAGCAACUGUUUAGCAAAAACACAGGUCUAUGCGAAACCGAAAGGUGAGGUAUAUGGGCUGACGCCUGCCCGGUGCUGGAAGGUUAAGAGGAGAGGUUAGCGCAAGCGAAGCUUUGAAUUUAAGCCCCAGUAAACGGCGGCCGUAACUAUAACGGUCCUAAGGUAGCGAAAUUCCUUGUCGGGUAAGUUCCGACCCGCACGAAAGGCGUAAUGAUUUGAGCGCUGUCUCGACAAUGCAUCCGGUGAAAUUGAAGUACCAGUGAAGAUGCUGGUUACCUGCGCCAGGACGGAAAGACCCCAUGGAGCUUUACUCCAGUUUGGUACUGGGAUCCGGUACUGCAUGUACAGGAUAGGUGGGAGGCUGAGAAGCGGUAACGCCAGUUGCCGAGGAGCCGCUGUUGGGAUACCACCCUUGCAGUAUUGGGUUUCUAACCAGCCGCCGUGACCCGGCGGUGGGACAAUGCCAGACGGGGAGUUUGACUGGGGCGGUCGCCUCCGAAAGGGUAUCGGAGGCGCCCAAAGGUUCCCUCAGAAUGGACGGAAACCAUUCGAAGAGUGCAAAGGCAGAAGGGAGCUUGACUGCGACACCGACGGGUGGAGCAGGU